rnacentral:pre_miRNA from 1 species
AUGUAGGACAAUCUGUCUGUAAGUAGGGAUAAAUUACUCUUUAAAAAAAAAAAAAAAAAGAAUCCUAAAUAGUUUUCCCUUCAAAUCAAGCAUCUUGU